rnacentral:lncRNA from 1 species
AAAAAAUGAUUGCUAUUACAUUUCACAGUAAAUUUUUAUGCAGAAGGCAACCUCAGUAUUCCCCUGCACAUGCAUUUGUCUUGAGGUGUCUUCAAGUAAAUUAAUACUCAAGACUAGCCACUGGAGUGUGAUUUGGAAAAUUGUGUCGGGGAGAACAAAUGCCUUUUAAAUGGCACCCAAAGGGCUCCAAAGAGUUAAUGAACCUUAUAUUCUCCAUGAACCAGAUUCAUUUUAAAGACACCCUUUCACAGAUGAGGUGUGUAGCUAAUUAUAUUUGCACAUUUAGCUAGCUGCUUAGCCAUGCACAAUGAGUGAUAUUAUGAGCAGUGAGUCACCAACCACACCACCAUAUGGACAUGAUUUUCAG